rnacentral:lncRNA from 1 species
GAGCGCGCAUAUAGCGGCGCCCGCCGGGCCCUGCCUGGCACUCGGCGGCGGCGACCACUGCGAAAGACCGUACUUCGUUCGCUCGUAACUCGCUCGGCUUCCUCUGCAGCCAUGUCUGACAAACCCGAUAUGGCUGAGAUUGAGAAAUUCGAUAAGUCGAAACUGAAGAAAACAGAAACGAGAGAGAAAAAUCCACUGCCUUCACAAGAAACGAUUGAACAGGAGAAGCAAGCAGGCGAGUCGUAAUGAGGCGUGCGCCGCCAAUAUGCACUGUACAUUCCACGAGCAUUGCCUUCUUAUUUUACUUCUUUUAGCUGUUUAACUUUGUAAGAUGCAAAGAGGUUGAAUCGAGUUUAAAUGACUGUGCUGCCCCUUUUCACAUCAAAGAAUGGAGAACUACUGACAACGAAGGCCGCGCCUGCCUCCCAUCCGCCGGUCUGGCUGGCAGGGAAGGAAAAGAACUUGCAUGUUGGUGAAGGAGGAGGCUGGGUGGGACGACGGGGAAAUCUAAAGAGCAAGGUGGUCCAAGGUGUCCUGCGGGCUGUAAAAUGCAGUUUAAUCAGAGUGCCAUUUUUUUGUUGUUGUUGUUGUUCAAAUGACUUUAAUUAUUGGAAUGCACAAUUUUUUUAAUAUGCAAAUAAAAAGUUUUAAAACCCGGCUGGUGUGACGGUAUGGUCUCUGAAAGGAGCGGCUUAUUCAGAUGAAACCUUUGCAAGAGGGUCAAAGGUGGGUUCCCUGGGGAGCCAU